rnacentral:pre_miRNA from 8 species
UGACUGAAUGCAGAGCUUUCUGAUGUUGAUGAUACUGCAUCAGGAACUGAUUGGAUGAUGUCGAUGGGCCAUCAGUUCUUGAUGCAUUGCCUUCAGCAUUGAAAGAA